GGGAUGGCGGGGAAGGAGGAGAGAGAGAGGUCCGGAAACGCCUCGAUCCUACGGACAAGGAAAGGAAAGAAAAGAAGGAAAAAGUCGAAGAGAAAGCCAUCCACAAAGAAAAGAAGAAGGAGAUAGUAGAGGAUGAGGAAAAUGGAGCUGACGAGGAUGAUGAAGAGAAUCCUGAUGAUGUAGAUGAAGAAGAGGGUGGUGAUGAGGACGAAGAAGCAGAUGAGAAUGGGCAGGAGCAGGAUGGCCACGCAGAGAAACGAUCUGCAGAGGAGGAGGAGGAUGAAGUGGAUCCAAAGAGACAGAAGACAGAAAACGGCUCUUCAGCUUGAGUCCUCCCUCCCAUCCCCCUGUUCCGCCCAUCUCUCCUCCUCCAUUCCAGCCUGUGCUUGCACUGCCCGUUAGCCUCUGGCUUCACGCAAUCUCAGAUGAGGAAAGAUUAGAAAUGCUCUCAAACAGGGGAAGACAGCAGUUCCCUUCUCACCCAAAGGACCUAGUCCGUCCAUGACCUUCCCCAGCUGAAAUUAUCCCUGUCCCCUGCAGCCCUUCACUGCACCCCCCUUACCAGCGCUCCUGUUCCCUCAAGAAUCUCAUGGUUUCCUGGGCACACAGCCUUGCCAGGCACUUCACGUGGGCAAAGCACCUCCCGUCCCCUUGUCACCUGCCUGCCUGUUUUUGUCACUGGUAUGAGAUUCUUGAGAGCUCCCGCCCAGCCCUGCUGCCAGAGCUCCUGCCAGAGCCAGGAGGUGCAGGCACAGAUCUCGUGGUGCGUUCCCCAGUCCUAGGCCUCUUCUCAUCUGCUUUCCUGCUGAACCCUGAGAGACAAAAGAAAGAAUAUUACAAGCAAAUAAUGGUUCUAUUAAGCAACACAUGGAGACAGGAUUUAUUUUAAGCUUUUCUUUUUUUUUUUUUCCGAGUUUACAUUGACAGCAAGCUGGCCCUCGUGAAUUUUUUGAAAGAUAAGGGUUGUUUUAUAUACGAAUUUCAUCUGAGCUGUGUAUUUUUUUAAUUUGGAGGCUUUUUUAAAACAAAUCAAGAAGAGACACCAAUUGGGACCAAAACUUUGAUUUCCAUUUUUCCCUUCAGAUUUUCUUGUGACCAUUUUUUGUAAAUUAAAGGCAAUAUAGCCACAGCGUUUUCUAUGGCACAGACAUCACGAGGAUGAUAGAUAUAAAUAUAUAUAUUGUUUUCAACAAGCACUGUAAAUAAAAAGCGUUUAAAAUGUUU
rnacentral:lncRNA from 1 species